GUGAACUAUCAUCGGUUGUGCGUCUCUUAAGAAGAAGAAUCGAACAUAGUUCGUCUAGACGCAUAAUCCGUCUUGUGCCCGUCUUUAUACUGAGGACGCAUAACCAGACGAACAACAAAUGCCUGCCCAAGUUCGUCCAGACGCAUAAUGCGUCUCUAGUAUAAAAACGGCCAAUCUCCCGGCAUGUGCUAAAACCUGAACGAUGGACGAUAGACGUCCAUGGACGAUGGACGUCCACCGUCCAGGUUUUAUUGGACGAUGGACGUCCAUCGUCCAGGUUUUAUUGGACGAUGGACGUCCAUCGUCCAGGUUUUAUUGGACGAUGGACGAUUUUUAUUUAGCUACGCUGUUUCAACAAAUUCAGUCUCCGGCUAUCACUUCGUCACUAUACUAUCAAUUUGACACACCUUAAUGACCUUACUUACUUAGGGACGGACCAUUAGAAAAGUGAUGGGGGGAGAUGGUCCAUUUCCAACGUGCACUAUUAUUUUUUCGAAUUUUUUUGCUGUGUCGAUUUUUUUUAUAACCCCUUGCUCGAAUUUUAUUUUUUUUCCAAAAAUUGUUGGGGGGGGAUGUGAAAAUUUUUUCUGGACAAACAUUUUUUCCGGACUAACAUCAGUUCAGUUUGGGUUUAAAACACAUUUCCCCCGAAAAAAUCUUCUUAAAACAUGAUUAAAACGCUUUUCUUGCACCAUUAUCCGCUACAUUUAGGUUUAGAAAAUGUUUUCUCAUACCAUUACUUAUAUAAAAAAAGUGUUUCAAAUUAUUUUUCUUUUAUUUUCCAAAUUUGGGGGCAACCUUACACCGUCAACUUAUAAUUUUCCUUAUUGAAAAGUCUCUGCACGAAUUUUUUUUCCAACUUUCCUGCUGCACGAAUUUAUUUUUUUUCUGUUUCCCCUGCU
rnacentral:lncRNA from 1 species